UCUAGGAGCCAUGUCUACCUUGUUCCCCUCAUUCUUCCCCUGUGCGACUGAGAUGCUGUGGUUUAAGCCGGAUCGACCCUGUGUGGAAGAGACAGAGCUGCAGCAACAGGAACAGCAGCACCAGGCUUGGCUCCAAAGCAUCACAGAGGAAGACAACAACCUGGUUCCCAUUGGCAAGCCAGCCUCAGGGCACUAUGAUGAUGGCGAAGAGGAAGAUGAUGAAGAUGAUGAGGAUAGUGAAGACGACUCAGAGGAUGAUGAGGACAUGCAGGACAUGGAUGAGAAGAAUGACUACAGUGAGUCACCUGAUGAUGGAGAGGUCAGUGAGGUGGACACGGAAGGCAACGGACAGGAUCAGGACCAGUGGAUGAUCUAGCUGCUUCCAGGACCUGAUCUCCUCGGCCCCUCCCAGGCCAGCCGUCUGCUCUUGAAUCCCCAGGGCCUGAGGCCAUGCCACCCUCCUGGCCAGUACCUCACCCUUGGUCGCCGGGUCUGGUCUCUUUCUAACUCUCUUUAAUAAAGACACAGGACUGAUUUA